rnacentral:ncRNA from 1 species
GCAUAUUAUUAAAGAAGAGAUGGUUGGCAUCUCCCUUGAUGGGAAUAAUCUUCAGACGCAUUUCUCACAUGUUGUUUAGGCUCUCUACCUCAACCAAGGUCGGAUUAAAAGUUUAAUUU